rnacentral:lncRNA from 1 species
CACAAGAGUCACAUCUCCAGGCUAAACUAGAAAUAUGGAAGGAUGGCUGACAAAGGAGUGGAACCUGAAAAAAACCUAGCAAAGAGAAAAAAUAAUCUGCAGCGACUGGAUGGAUUGUGCCUCCUGCCAAGCUGCUCCCUGAUGACUUCUGCACUGGACUGCUGAGGAGAGUGCUCAGUCCCUGCAACAGCCCAGAGCUGUGUCUGAGUAAGCAGGGGAUCAUCCAGCAGGAAAGGAGAGAGGCAGACGAGUCCUGCAGCUCUGGACCUCCUCCUGCCCUCCUCCGAGCUGUGAGGUGUCCCUUGCUGGCCCAGCCCAAGAAGCAUCGGCCGUAGGGAAGAUUCCCAGCCCUGUCUGCAUCCUGGGAAGGAGCUGCCCCGCUGCCGGCCACCCCACACCAGGGACAGAAGGAGCAAGCUGCCACCCCAGGCCCUGUGUGACAGCUCUGGCUCAGGCAGGAGACGCCAGACACAUCCA